rfam:Ipomoea nil DNA, scaffold: scaffold2480, cultivar: Tokyo-kokei standard.
GUUGGAAUAGCUCAGUUGGUUAAAGUGUGUGGCUGUUAACCACAAGGUUGGAGGUUCAAAUCUUCCUUCUAGCG